rnacentral:rRNA from 1 species
GACAGAGGGGGGCAAGCGUUGCUCGGAAUCACUGGGCGUAAAGGGCGCGUAGGCGGGAUGGCAAGUCGGUCGUGAAAUCCCUGGGCUCAACUCAGGGGGGUCGGCCGAUACUGCCGUUCUUGAGGGAUGCAGAGGAGACUGGAAUUCCCGGUGUAGCGGUGAAAUGUGUAGAGAUCGGGAGGAACACCGGUGGCGAAGGCGGGUCUCUGGGCCGAUACUGACGCUGAGGAGCGAAAGCGUGGGGAGCGAACAGG